rnacentral:rRNA from 1 species
AUGAACGCUGGCGGCGUGCCUAAUCCAUGCCAGUCGCGCGAACAGACGAGGAGCUUGCUCCUCUGACGUUAGCGGCGGACGGGUGAGUAACACGUGGAUAACCUACCUAUAAGACUGGGAUAACUUCGGGAAACCGGAGCUAAUACCGGAUAACAUGUUGAACCGCAUGGUUCAACAGUGAAAGACGGUCUUGCUGUCACUUAUAGAUGGAUCCGCGCCGCAUUAGCUAGUUGGUAAGGUAACGGCUUACCAAGGCAACGAUGCGUAGCCGACCUGAGAGGGUGAUCGGCCACACUGGAACUGAGACACGGUCCAGACUCCUACGGGAGGCAGCAGUAGGGAAUCUUCCGCAAUGGGCGAAAGCCUGACGGAGCAACGCCGCGUGAGUGAAGAAGGUCUUCGGAUCGUAAAACUCUGUUAUUAGGGAAGAACAAAUGUGUAAGUAACUAUGCACGUCUUGACGGUACCUAAUCAGAAAGCCACGGCUAACUACGUG